GUUCCUGUAGUUGAAUUUUUAUCAACAGUGACUUUUCAGGUCGAAGGUCUUGGUUAGAAUCCAAGCUGGAACU
rnacentral:tRNA from 1 species